rnacentral:rRNA from 1 species
AAACCAGCACCUCAAGUGGUCAGGAGGAUUAUUGGGCCUAAAGCAUCCGUAGCCUGUUCUGUAAGUUUCCGGUUAAAUCCACUAGCUCAACUAGUGGGCUGCCGAAAAUACUGUAGAACUAGGGAGUGGGAGAGGUAGACGGUAUUCGGUAGGAAGGGGUAAAAUCCUUUGAUCUAUUGAGGACCACCUGUGGCGAAGGCGGUCUACCAGAACACGUUCGACGGUGAGGGAUGAAAGCUGGGGGAGCAAACCGGAUUAGAAACCCCGGUAGUCC